rfam:Fuerstia marisgermanicae strain NH11 chromosome, complete genome.
GUGCGGGAUAGGGUCGCUCCUGAAAACCGGCUUCCAUCGCCGGCUUCCCGCACUUCCUUUUUUCGAUGG